rnacentral:misc_RNA from 1 species
UGGUUCUGGCAUCGAUGAAGAACGCAGCGAAAUGCGAUAAGUAGUGUGAAUUGCAGAAUUCAGUGAAUCAUCGAAUCUUUGAACGCACAUUGCGCCCCUUGGUAUUCCAUGGGGCAUGCCUGUUCGAGCGUCAUUUGUACCCUCAAGCUCUGCUUGGUGUUGGGUGUUUGUCCCGCGUUGUCGUGUGGACUCGCCUUAAAGCAAUUGGCAGCCGGCAUAUUUGGCCUUGGAGCGCAGCACAUUUUGCGCUUCUAGUCAUGAAUGUUGGCGUCCAUUAAGCCUAUUACAUUUGCAUUUUGACCUCGGAUCAGGUAGGGAUACCCGCUGA